rnacentral:rRNA from 1 species
UACAGAGGUCUCGAGCGUUAGGCGGAAUCACUGGGCUUAAAGCGUGUGUAGGUGGCUGCCUAAGUACCUUGUGAAAUCCCACAGCUUAACUGUGGAACUGCUUGGUAUACUGGGUGUCUUGAGUCACUCAGGGGCGAGCGGAACAAAUGGUGGAGCGGUGAAAUGCGUAGAUAUCAUUUGGAACGCCAAUGGUGAAAACAGCUCGCUGGGGGUGCACUGACACUGAGACACGAAAGCCAGGGGAGCAAACGGG